GAUGAACGCUGGCGGCGUGCCUAAUACAUGCAAGUCGAGCGAACGGACGAGAAGCUUGCUUCUCUGAUGUUAGCGGCGGACGGGUGAGUAACACGUGGAUAACCUACCUAUAAGACUGGGAUAACUUCGGGAAACCGGAGCUAAUACCGGAUAAUAUUUUGAACCGCAUGGUUCAAAAGUGAAAGACGGUCUUGCUGUCACUUAUAGAUGGAUCCGCGCUGCAUUAGCUAGUUGGUAAGGUAACGGCUUACCAAGGCAACGAUGCAUAGCCGACCUGAGAGGGUGAUCGGCCACCCUGGAACUGAGACACGGUCCAGACUCCUACGGGAGGCAGCAGUAGGGAAUCUUCCGCAAUGGGCGAAAGCCUGACGGAGCAACGCCGCGUGAGUGAUGAAGGGCUUCGGAUCGUAAAACUCUGUUAUUAGGGAAGAACAUAUGUGUAAGUAACUGUGCACAUCUUGACGGUACCUAAUCAGAAAGCCACGGCUAACUACGUG
rnacentral:rRNA from 1 species